rnacentral:rRNA from 1 species
AACGAACGCUGGCGGCAGGCUUAACACAUGCAAGUCGAGCGCCCCGCAAGGGGAGCGGCAGACGGGUGAGUAACGCGUGGGAACGUGCCCUUUGGUUCGGAACAACUCCGGGAAACUGGAGCUAAUACCGGCUAAGCCCUUCGGGGGAAAGAUUUAUCGCCAAAGGAUCGGCCCGCGUCUGAUUAGCUAGUUGGUGAGGUAAUGGCUCACCAAGGCGACGAUCAGUAGCUGGUCUGAGAGGAUGAUCAGCCACACUGGGACUGAGACACGGCCCAGACUCCUACGGGAGGCAGCAGUGGGGAAUAUUGGACAAUGGGCGCAAGCCUGAUCCAGACAUGCCGCGUGAGUGAUGAAGGCCUUAGGGUUGUAAAGCUCUUUCACCCACGACGAUAAUGACGGUAGUGGGAGAAGAAGCCCCGGCUAACUUCGUGCCAGCAGCCGCCGUAACAC